AACGAACGCUGGCGGCAUGCCUAACACAUGCAAGUCGAACGAGACCUUCGGGUCUAGUGGCGCACGGGUGCGUAACGCGUGGGAACCUGCCCUUAGGUUCGGAAUAACUCCCCGAAAGGGGUGCUAAUACCGGAUAAUGUCUUCGGACCAAAGAUUUAUCGCCUUUGGAUGGGCCCGCGUUGGAUUAGCUAGUUGGUAGGGUAAAAGCCUACCAAGGCGACGAUCCAUAGCUGGUCUGAGAGGAUGAUCAGCGACACUGGGACUGGGACACGGCCCAGACUCGUACGGGAGGCAGCAGUGGGGAAUAUUGGACAAGGGGCGAAAGCCUGAUCCAGCAAUGCCGGGUGGGUGAUGAAGGCCUUAGGGUUGUAAAGCUCUUUUACCCGGGAUGAUAAUGACAGUACCGGGAGAAUAAGCUCCGGCUAACUCCGU
rnacentral:rRNA from 1 species